GUGUCAGCCGCCGCGGUAAUACCGGCAGCUCGAGUGAUGACCGAUUUUAUUGGGCCUAAAGCGUCCGUAGCUGGCCAGGCAAGUCCGUUGGGAAAUCCACCUGCUCAACAGGUGGGCGCCCGGUAGAAACUGCGUGGCUUGGGACCGGAAGGCGCGACGGGUACGUCCGGGGUAGGAGUGAAAUCCCGUAAUCCUGGACGGACCGCCGAUGGCGAAAGCGCCUCAGGAGAACGGAUCCGACAGUGAGGGACGAAAGCUAGGGUCUCGAACCGGAUUAGAAACCCCGGUAGUCC
rnacentral:rRNA from 1 species